rnacentral:ncRNA from 2 species
AAUUGAAUAUUUCUCCGAAUUUAAAAUCCUAAGGGCUAGACUAUGGAUUUUAGAUCUGGGUAAAAGUAGAAAUGCUUUUGCCUCCCAUGUUUGGAAAGGAGACAUCAAGUUAUGUCC